UGGGGAAUUUUGCACAAUGGGGGAAACCCUGAUGCAGCGACGCCGCGUGAUUUAGAAGGCCUUCGGGUUGUAAAAAUCUUUUUUAUGGGAUGAAAAUGACAGUACCAUAAGAAUAAGGUCCGGCUAAAUACGUGCCAGCAGCCGCGGUAAUACGUAUGGACCGAGCGUUGUCCGGAAUCAUUGGGCGUAAAGGGUACGUAGGCGGCCCAGUAAGUUAGAAGUGAAAUAAUAUAGCUCAACUAUAUAAAGCUUUUAAAACUGCUAGGCUUGAGAGAUGGAAGGGAAAGUGGAAUUCCUAGUGUAGCGGUGAAAUGCGCAGAUAUUAGGAAGAAUACCGGUGGCGAAGGCGACUUUCUGGUCAUCAUCUGACGCUGGGGUACGAAAGCGUGGGUAGCAAGCAGG
rnacentral:rRNA from 1 species